AUGUAGCGUAAUGGAUAGCGCGUUGGGCUUCUAAUCUAAAGGUCGUGGGCUCAAAUCCCACCUGGAAUG